rnacentral:rRNA from 1 species
UACGGAGGGUGCAAGCGUUAUCCGGAUUCACUGGGGUUAAAGGGUGCGUAGGAGGGCAGGUAAGUCAGUGGUGAAAUCUCCAAGCUUAACUUGGAAACUGCCGUUGAUACUAUCUGUCUUGAAUACCGUGGAGGUGAGCGGAAUAUGUCAUGUAGCGGUGAAAUGCUUAGAUAUGACAUAGAACACCAAUUGCGAAGGCAGCUCGCUACACGAAUAUUGACUCUGAGGCACGAAAGCGUGGGGAUCAAACAGG